rnacentral:lncRNA from 1 species
CUGCGGUGGUGGUGCCGGGUGGUACUGUGGUGGAGCAGGCUCGUGCCCGGGUGGCUCGGGAUCCGCUUGCUUUAGCGGUGGCUCAACUCGUAGUAGUGGGGGAGGUUCGGGUAACUCCCUUCUCUCCUCUCGACCCUGCUGGGCAGCCAUGAUCCUUUCCAGCAUCUCAAAUAUUCUGUCCACAUUUUCCCGUAGCGAAUCAUCCUGGGCUGCUCGGUUUAGUGGGGGUCUUCCUCUCCUCAUUUCUUUGCACCUGCAUUUCACACAAAAGAGUUGAGUAACGAUUUAUCAGUGGGUAUUUCUCUAAGCAUUAUUGUGUAAGGGAUGAGUCAGAGUAACGCGGCUCUGAUACCAACUGUAACGGCCCUGGAAAUUUAAAUGAAGAUGUAUAU